GGCCUGGUGGUCUAGUAGUAUGAUUCCUUGUUAGGGUAACUACGUUUCGAGGAGGUCCCGGGUUCAAUUCCCGGCCAGGCCC